GACGAACGCUGGCGGCGUGCUUAACACAUGCAAGUCGAACGGAAAGGCCUCUUUCGGGGGGUACUCGAGUGGCGAACGGGUGAGUAACACGUGAGUAACCUGCCCUUGACUUUGGGAUAACUUCAGGAAACUGGGGCUAAUACCGGAUAGGAGCUCCUGCUGCAUGGUGGGGGUUGGAAAGUUUCGGCGGUUGGGGAUGGACUCGCGGGUUAUCAGCUUGUUGGUGGGGUAGUGGCUUACCAAGGCUUUGACGGGUAGGCGGCCUGGGAGGGUGACCGGCCACAGUGGGACUGAGAUACGGCCCAGACUCCUACGGGAGGCAGCAGUGGGGAAUAUUGCACAAUGGGUGGAAGCCUGAUGCAGCAACGCCGUGUGCGGGAUGACGGCCUUCGGGUUGUAAACCGCUUUCGCUCAUGACGAAGCUUUGUGUGACGGUAGUGGGUAAAGAAGCACCGGCUAACUACGUG
rnacentral:rRNA from 1 species